CAGAGAGCCCAGGAGUUACUUGAUGAUGACCUGAGUAAAUGCAGUAGAAAUUCCUCACCUGAGAGGAUCAAGCAACUGCUACGUCUUUCUUUCGAUGUCAGACGAAAGAAGAUUGAAAACCUCAAAGUGCGACGUGUGGAGGAAAUUAAUUAAAUGUAUCCUUGCUUCAAGAAGCUUUGCUAUCUGAAGACAGAGCUUUAUCUGAUGUUGCCACAUGCCAGAAAUGAAGACACUGCAAGGUGAAACAUGAUCAAGGUUUCAGCAAACAUUCUCGAAUCUCUUUAUGCCAAUAACAUGAUCAAGAUAGCACGAUCAGCAAUUACAAAUGCAGAACUGCAGAUACUUGUUGCCUUCAGCUACCUCCACAGCUCAUCUGCAAAGUCAAAAACUGCUGCACACCACAUAGUCCACAUUGUCAAGACUGCAGAAACCUGGCAAAGUGUUGCUAGUGCCCACAAAAACAAAGCCACGUUCAUCACGAAGAAAAUUCUAAUUGAAUAAUGCUGAUGUACAAAGACCAACCAAUUGGUAAAGCAGAAGAUUCUGCUGAUGCAAUUCUGACACUGAAGGAAGUGUUAUAAGAUAACGUACACAAGAGGGUUGUUGUGCUACUUGAUAAGUCAUCAAGAAAUUUAGAAAGUUUCUUGUGUAAGCGAGUUACAGGACAGACCGUCUUUUGAGAUAUAAAUAAUGAAUAUAACAUCAGUUACCACAGAAUGAAUCUUCUGCUUUACCAAUGUAAGCACCACACAUUCAAUUUAAACAAAAAGAUGUACCCAAACAUUCUUUUUACAAAAAGAAAAUACUUUGGGGGAAAAUGGCAUGUCAAGGAAUUAAAAAUAAAUAAAUAAAUAAUAUAUUUAAAACAAAUUGUCUCUGAUACAGCACGCAGUAAGCUCACUUGUAUUUAGUAGCAGUAGACGGUAUAUCAGCACUCACAUGUAGAUCCAAAUGGUGACGAACAAUUCAACAAAUGUGAAGAGACAUGUAUCCCAUCAAUGUUUAUUCAUUGACAUUAAAAAUUGUGUAGAACUACGCGUUUCGUAUACUUGAAGCAAUGUCAUAUUAUUCUUCAUUGAAGCCAACUGAUCAACAAACUGAUUUACAGUUAACUGAAUAUAUACUUACAUCAAAUAAUUUCUUUUUAAUAACAAGUAUUUGCAAAUCCAAGGUACUGCUAUGGGCUCAACAUUUGCACCUAAUUAUGCAAAUAUAUUUAUGGGUUAUUGGGAAAAGCAAAGCAUUGAUGAUAUUACCAUCAACCCAUCAUUGCAGUAUGUGGCCCUAUGGAAAAGAUAUAGCUAUGACAUACUGGUUGUUUGGACAGGUACUGAGGAGGAUUUACACUUAUUCAAAGAUUAUAUUAAUGGAAUUAGACCCGCAUUAAAUUUCACCAUGGAGUAUAGUAGAUUUGAAAUAAAUUCUUUUGGAUUUAUUCAUUUCAAUUUCUGAUUUUGGAAAAGUGAACACAUCUAUCUUUAGAAAACCAACAGAUAGAAACGCUUUGUUAUGUGCAGAUAGUCAUCAUCCAAAACAUAUGAUUAGAAAUAUACCGUACGGACAGUUUUUAAGACUAAAGCGAAUUUGCAGUAAGAAAUCUGAUUUUCAAAUGAAAGCUUCAAAAAUGCUGAAACGCUUUCGUGACCGAGGUUAUGCUACACAGGUGAAUGACACAGCCUUUAAGAGAACGGAGAUUAAAAAUCUAGAAGAUAUUUUGGUAAUUAUCUAAGAAUAUGCAUACAAAUAAAUCUGAUAGCGUUUCCUUUGUCACUGAGUUUAAUCACAUGUCCAAUGAUAUUAAGAGUAUAAUAUACAAACACUGGAAAAUACUGACAUGUGACCCUCAACUUCAUCCUUUUGUUAAAUCUUUUUUAAAAAAAAUGGUUUAGAAGAGGUAGUAACAUUAAGAAUGAAUUAGUUUCUUCUAUGUCUAAUAGAUAAUUGGCUUCACAAAUCUUCUGAGAUAAGAUAAUUUUCGUUGUGGUAGAUGUAUAUUUAUUAUUUUUUCAAAA